rnacentral:rRNA from 1 species
CACGUAGGCACCAAGCGUUGUCCGGAUUUAUUGGGCGUAAAGAGCUCGUAGGCGGUUCAGUAAGUCGGGUGUGAAAACUCUGGGCUUAACCCAGAGCCGCCACCCGAUACUGCUGUGACUUGAGUUCGGUAGGGGAGCAGGGAAUUCCUAGUGUAGCGGUGAAAUGCGCAGAUAUUAGGAGGAACACCGGUGGCGAAGGCGCUGCUCUGGGCCGAUACUGACGCUGAGGAGCGAAAGCGUGGGUAGCAAACGGG